rnacentral:rRNA from 1 species
AGCGAACGCUGGCGGCGUGCCUAACACAUGCAAGUCGAACGGGAAAGUGGGGGCAACCCCAUGAGUAUAGUGGCGCACGGGUGAGUAAUACGCAGGUAACCUACCUUCCAGUGGAGAAUAACCCCGCGAAAGCGAGGCUAAUUCUGCAUACGUCUCACGACACUCCGGUGUUGUGAGGGAAAGGCGACCUCUAUUUAUAAGUUGUCGCUGGAUGAUGGGCCUGCGUCGGAUUAGCUAGUUGGUAGGGUAAUGGCCUACCAAGGCAACGAUCCGUAGCUGGUCUGAGAGGAUGAUCAGCCGCACUGGCACUGAGACACGGGCCAGACUCCUACGGGAGGCAGCAGUGGGGAAUAUUGCGCAAUGGGCGAAAGCCUGACGCAGCAACGCCGCGUGAGGGAUGAAGGCCUUCGGGUCGUAAAGCUCUGUUGUUAGGGAAGAACAAGUACCGGAGUAACUGCCGGUACCUUGACGGUACCUAACCAGAAAGCCACGGCUAACUACGUGCCAGCAGCCGCCGUAAGAC